UGGGGAAUAUUGCACAAUGGGCGCAAGCCUGAUGCAGCCAUGCCGCGUGUAUGAAGAAGGCCUUCGGGUUGUAAAGUACUUUCAGCGGGGAGGAAGGCGAUAAGGUUAAUAACCUUGUCGAUUGACGUUACCCGCAGAAGAAGCACCGGCUAACUCCGUGCCAGCAGCCGCGGUCAUACGGAGGGGGCAAGCGUUAAUCGGAAUUACUGGGCGUAAAGCGCACGCAGGCGGUCUGUCAAGUCGGAUGUGAAAGCCCCGGGCUCAACCUGGGAACUGCAUUCGAAACUGGCAGGCUAGAGUCUUGUAGAGGGGGGUAGAAUUCCAGGUGUAGCGGUGAAAUGCGUAGAGAUCUGGAGGAAUACCGGUGGCGAAGGCGGCCCCCUGGACAAAGACUGACGCUCAGGUGCGAAAGCGUGGGGAGCAAACA
rnacentral:rRNA from 1 species